rnacentral:misc_RNA from 1 species
UCCAGAGUUUCUCCGGCAGUCCCCCAUGAGUGCUCGGCACUACCCGGUGGCAACAUAGGGCGGGGGUUGCGCUCGUUGCGGGACUUAACCCAACACCUCACGGCACGAGCUGACGACAGCCAUGCAACACCUGUCCUGGUACCCGACUUUACGGGUCGGUAACCCUUUCAGGCACCUACUUCCAGGAUGUCAAACCCAGGUAAGGUGGGGAUGAGUGUAACCGAAUCU